rnacentral:lncRNA from 1 species
CUCCCCCACGGCCCAGAAGGACCUGCCUGAGCCCCAGUGGGUUCUGAGCCCAGGGUGGCAGCCCGCUGUCUCCUCCUCCUUGCCCUGCCGGCCUGUUCCUACAGAAUGCUCCAGACUUCUCCUGGUCCAUUUCCCUGGGCUCUGUGAGGCCUGGCCAGCAGAGGGCACGGUCCUCUAUAUUCUGGAGACCGGAGGCUGAAGAGAGCAGCUUUGGGGACCUUUGCGGCUCUAACUCAGCCUCUCCAAACUGCAGGGAGCCACCGAGGAGCUGGGUGAGAGCUCGGGAGAUGAGGGUAUCCCGAGAUCCCGAGGGAAUUUCACAGAGCUGGCCCCUCCUCUGAUACGGGUCCUGCAGCAUGCCCCCCCCCCCCCCCCCCAGGCUGGGCACACAGAUGCUCCUCUGUCAUCAGUCCUGGCCUGGCCCGGUUCUUCUGUCCCAGGAACAGACCAGAGUCCUAGGACAGCCCCCCGCCCCCGGCCCGCGGGAGGGCAGCGGGAGAACUCAGGGCCAGGCCUGCGGGACUGUUUGCCUUCGCGGGCAGGGUGACGGGCAGCAGGUCGGGCAGUUUCAUGUUUCUGUUGACGGAUGCUGCUGAGCACCUCAUGACGUGCCAGCCACGGUGGCGAGCACGGGGUGAGCCCAAACACCACGACGGCCCGUGCCACAUGAGCUGUGCUGUCAGCUGGGAAGACACGUUCGACGCGGACUUUCAUGACGUGUCCAAAUUACAAAUGCGGGGCUUUCUACCCAGAUAUAGACAUGAAUUUGGGAGAAAAUCAGGUAUGAAGUCAACAAGCAGAGUUUGCAGCAGGGCAGGACUCUAAGUAUGAUCAACUUCACCGAAUCUCCUGAUACAAAGAAUCGUGCUGUGUACAGACGAAAGCUUACUUUUCAUGACAUGAAGGAUCCUGUGAUUUGAGGAAGGUACUUUCUUUUUUUUUUUUUUUUUUUUUUGUAUUUUUUUUUAUUGGAGUUCGAUUUGCCAGCAUGUAACACCCAGUGCUCAUCCCGUCAAGUGCCCGCCUCAGUGCCCGUCACCCAGUCACUCUGUUCCCCCGCCCUCCUCCCCUUCCACCACCCCUUGUUUGUUUCCCAGAGUUAAGAGUCUCUCAUGGUCUGUCCCCCUCUCUGAAAUAUCAGAGAAGAAGUUACUUUCAACUGCCUCCCAUUUUCCAGCAAUCCCAAGGGAAGCACGAGUGCUCCGAGGUCCCGCAGCUGGUGAGGGCAGGACCUGGUUAAAGCCCUGGGUUUCUUGCCUCCACAGUGUCUUCCUUUUCUGAUUCACAAUCCUAGUAUCAGCCCGGAUCAGAAUCAGCAUAAGUGAACAUACGCUCUGGCACGAAGAGAAAAAUCUCAUGAGCUGGCAUGAUGGGAAAAUGAGACAGUUACCGCUUUGCCAUUGUUUGCUGAUGGAUAAAAUAACACACCCCAUUCCUGGCUUUAUCCCCACCCUAUUAUAAGGAUUCCUGACAGCAUGGGAUGUCCAAACCGGCCUUCAAUUUCCCCUGCUUGCCCCCCUGACCCUUAUCUGGCCCUCAGUAUCCCAGACUUCCCCCCCGUAAGGGAAGUCCACUCCUGAGCUUGUGGAGUUACCCACACCCCACUGGUGGUGGAUAUGCCAUGGGAAUUGCAAAAAUGUCAUAUAGAUGUAAGAAGUGGGCAUGGUGGGGGUCAGCAAACUAUGGCCUAUGGAGCAAAUCCUGCCUGCUGCCUGUUUUCGUAAAUAAAGCUUUAUUGGAACACAGCCAUGCCCAUCUGCUUGCAUAUUGUAAAGUGCUUUUGAGCUACAAAGACAGAACUAAGCAGUUGUGACAGAGUCCGUGUGGCCUGCAAAGCUAAACAUAUUCAUUACCUGGUUCUUUAUAAGAAACAUUGAUGGCCUUGGCCAGUAUAGAGAUAGCUAAGUUAUUUGUCUCGGUGUUGUGCUAACACUUUAACAGAACCUUGUGGAGAUAAUGGCUGCAGAGGUGUGGCUGCUGUGCUGACAGUUGGAGGCCUCCUCGUGGGUUAAUGGAGGUCACGUUGCUUACUGGUCCUUUGGUGGCCCUCACAGACAUGUUCGAUGGCUUCCUGUACUUCCCAUACAUUGAGCUUGCCCCCUUCCUUUCUAGGGCCUGUAGCUCGGUCCUACCAUGAAGCUGUGGGGCACCAGGGGACCAACUCUGGCCUCAGUUCUGAGACAGUAGUGGCUGCUGGCAGGACUUGGUGAAUGGGUUUGGCUUGUCUGGAGCUAACAGGUGAUGGAGCAAAUUCCACCUAGAUUUUAUGCGUGUGUGAAUAAACUUGUGCCCAAGACCCUCUCCUUUUAAAAAAAAAAAAAAAACUUUUAAUUUGGAGAUCCUUGUACAUUGACAUACAGCUUGUAAGAAAUAGCACAGAGGGAUCCCACGUUCCCUUUACUAAGUCUUCCCACUGGUAACAUCUCGUAGAACCAUAACACAAUAUCACAACUGGGAUACUGACAGUGAUGCAGUCAAGAUAGAGCAUUUCCAUCAUCCUUGAUCCAGGGACGCCUCCUGUCCUUUUACAACCAUAUCCACUUGCCUCCCACCCCCACUGCCACCAUGGCAACCAAAAGUUUUGUCUUUCCUUGCUGAAAUUUAAUCAUUUCAAAAUUAGUAUAUACACGGAACUAUACAGCAUGUGACCCUGGAGACUGGCUUUUGUCCUUCGGCAUUAUUCUCUGGAAUUGACAAGUGUGCCAAUAGUUCUUACCUUGUUAUUACUGAGUUGUAUUCAUGUAUUGAUGGACAGCAGUUUAUCUAACCAUGCACCAGUCGAAGAACAUUUGGGUUCUUACUCGUUUUGGACUAUUAUGAAUAAAUCUGCUAUCGACAUCUAUGUACAGGUUAUUGUGUGAACAUGGAAUUCAUACAGCAGUCUCAGAGGGGCUGGACUCAGACAGGUAGGAUUCAGGCGGAUGCCCUUUCCUGAUAGUCUCCAAACACAUGUGGCUUGUUAGGUCGAAAUGAAUAAUCACCCAUCCCUGAGGGAUGUUUACCUGGGUGCCGCCCUUCUGUCAGCCUCAGGUCUGUGUUAGAAUUCUGCCUUCUCCAUAACUCCUGGCCCAUCAACACUCCUGAUGCCAUCAUCAGGCUUGGUCCCACCAUUUCUCCUGGUCCCAACACUGUUCCUGACCCCACCAGCACUCCAGUCCUCUGAGCACUGGAACCAGGUCACAUUCUUACUCCCGGUUCCAUUGUCCCUCCUGAUCCUACCAUUAUUCCUACUCCCAUCAUCACUCCUGGUUCCUCUGCCACCCUUGGUCUCAUCAU